CCCUGACAGACAAGGAUUCAACCUCUGUGAACUCCCCACUGCUCCUCUGGCUCUGCUACUAUACUACCUUUUUCUCCUGAAAAUUGUGCCAGAAAAGAUGGUGAAAACAUGAGGACUUCUGGGUUCUACAUUCACCUCUUUCUUAAUGGAACUACACCUUGCAAGGCAGUCUUGAGGUUCCCAAUCCCGUGACAGUGAACAACACCGUUGUAUCAAAACAUUAAUGGGAUGAAGAAGUAUUUGUUAUCCCAAUCCAUGUUGGGAGGCCUGAGGAAACUCUCAAGAAUGAGCUGCUGGCUACUCCAAGUUCAAACCUGCCAUUUUAAAGACAGAAAUGAACUGAGAUCUGACCAUCCUCUCCUCUUCUAGAAGGCAUUUGGUAUGGUCUGAUGUUCUUCUGUAAGCAGUUUUGUUUUAAUAGGAUUUGAUGAUAAUUUUAUUCUUUUAUAGGUAUUGCUUUUAUUAAUUUGCGACCUGCUGGGUCAUCAACAGUGGACAAGAAAUGUUAACAAAAAUAAAAUUACUCUGUCCUUAAA